AGCAUAUCAAUAAGCGGAGGAAAAGAAACUAACAAGGAUUCCCCUAGUAACGGCGAGUGAAGCGGGAACAGCUCAAAUUUGAAAUCUCGCAGGGUUACNUGCGCGAAUUGUAGUUUAGAGAAGCGUUUUCGGGGGCGACUUGGGUAUAAGUCCUCUGGAAUGGGGCAUCAUAGAGGGUGAGAAUCCCGUUUAUGGUCCAACGUUCGCUCCUAUGUGAUACGCUUUCCAAGAGUCAGGUAGUUUGGGAUUGCUGCCUAAAAUGGGUGGUAAAUAUCAUCUAAAGCUAAAUAUUGGCGAGAGACCGAUAGCAAACAAGUACCGUGAGGGAAAGAUGAAAAGAACUUUGAAAAGAGAGUCAAACAGUACGUGAAAUUGCCAAAAGGGAAACGCUUGGAACCAGUAUUGCCUGCAGGUAAUCAGCUACACGUCCCGAAAGGGUCGCGUGUGGUGCACUUGCUUGCAGGCAGGUCAACAUCAGUUUGGCCCGAGGUAAAAAGCCGGAGGAAGGUAGCUCAGGCUUCGGUUUGAGUGUUAUAGCCUUCGGUCAUGCCUCGGACUGGACUGAGGUCUGCAGCGUUUUUUGGGUUCCCGAUCGCCUCUUGAAUCUGGCGUCCAGACAGCUUGCUGACUGGCCGCCAGUGUAGGGAGCUCGGUUGGUCGAACCACACCAACGCUUAGGAUGUUGACGAAA
rnacentral:rRNA from 1 species